ACUGUGCUUUUCCACAGUAAGACCAAUAGGGUUCCCUCCACAUGGCAGAAGAUAUAAAAGGCCCUGGAAACACUUCCAUUUUGCCUCUUUUCUGCUCAAACCUCUGGACUACGAAUUUACAUUAGUAGGAGCAUUCUAACUGAUGGACUGAGGACCUACCAAGGAUUUGGAAGGAACCAGAGACUUAUUAAGCCAGCAGUUUAUUCCAUCACUGCUACAAGCCUGAAACAAGAACUUUGCAAUUAUUACUGUUAAUUCUUUGGGAGAGGAACUUUUUGUCUUCUUCUGUUUGUACAGCACCUAGCACAACAUUGCCAUGACCUUAAAAGUGACGAUAAACAAACAGAAUAACUAGCGGAAAAUCAUGGCCGUUUGGUGAGAAGGGCUCGAUCUCAGCUGGGAACAGGCAACACAGCAUCAUUUUCACUCCAGCACAAAGUGCCUAUUCUUGACGACUCGACCAAAGGAAGCAGAAGCAGAGUGACUCCUAGCAAAGCACAUCUGCAAGGCUGUAUUUCACAGGAAGUAAUGCAGCUCCUCUGCAGAUAAGUUUCACUGAAGAACAAAGAAUAAUUUUGUUCAAUGCUUCAAGAGUGAUGCAUUGAAACCUGGACCUAGCUUUUCAGUUCCUGAAAACAAGACUCAGAGAACUAAAACUUAACUCCCCUCUGCCCCAAAUUAAGCACUAUGGCUUUCAAACCAGCCUCCAUUUUCCAUGUGAGGAAACCUUAAAAAAUGGCCAUUGAUCUCCAUCUCUUUUUAGAUGUUUUAUUAGACUAUUUUGCCAAAUACGCACAAAUUAGCACAUUUGAGAUAAACAGUAGAGCAAUAAUAGCUAAACCCGUUGUGUAAAAUGUAGCCCCCAAUGCAGAUCUGCUGUAAAGGUGAAGUGACAAAAUAUUUGACUAAGAACAAGAUAAGAGGCAUAAUAAUGGAUUAGCAGACAGUAUUGUCAUUAAUUGCAAAUAUAUCCUGAUCUUAAAUCUUUCCUGUAUGCCUCUGAAAUUCAUGGCAUACUAUCCACCACAGUUGGUUUUCUAGCAGCUGAACAUUUAACAUGAGAUAAUGAGGUGUGUUUCUGAGUGAUACAAGCAGCAUUUAUUCAGGAGUUAGAUGUAGUUAGGAGCCAAAAACAUGAUCAUAUUAAAAACAAACAACAGAGCAAAGAUUACCCUUGUGCCCCCUCUUUUAGCUUGUGCAGCACAUUCUGAUCAAUGCAGAAGAGAGGCUGUCAAGUACUCUGUUAUAGUUUAAUUUUCUAUUUAAUCUCAAUUGUUUGCAAUGCUCUUGCCCUCUUUUAAAAGCUGGAAAAUAUAAUUCCUUUCUCUAUCAAUUUUGUACUUUCCAUCUCAGCAAAAAGUGACUGAACCCCACCCCACAGCUUUUCUCCAAGUGCCUUCUAUAACAUUUUUAAGGAAAUUGUGUGCGCGUAUGUGUGGGGGGGAGUUUGGCGGAAAAUAGUUAAAAUAAGAAUCUUCACACAGAAUUUGAAUGGAACCCAAAAGGCUAAAAAAAAAAAAAGGUCAGCUGUCCCCUCCACCCCCCAAUUUCUGUAGUGCACCCUUUCAUUACACAUAGUAGAAUAUUUUUACAGUGAAGUUCUCAAUCACUCAAGCUAUGGUCUUCUAGAGGAAUACAAUAUUUUUUCUUGUAAGGAUUUUGGCAUUUCUUAGUUCCAACUAGGAAAAGAAUUUUUGAGAUUUCAUGAGAAUGGUCUGCAGGGGGGUCACAGAAUUUAAUAGUGUCUGUAUGGCAACUUGGCGAUGAACCUUCUAACAGAUCGUUUUCUUUGAUGUCUCCACCUCUGAUCCAGAAUCAGUUAUGGAUUGGAAGGCAAGCUGAAAGACAGUGUGUUUACACUGGCUCUAGUUUCAAGGGUUGGAAACCACACUGGACGGAUGUGGUUGCCCCCUAACUUGGCAGUUGGAGGCCACACUGGAAGGUUGUGUGUUUACUCUGGCUUGAGUAUCUAACACUGAAAGUUGUGUUGAUGGUUGCUCAGAUUCACUGGUGGAGGAGAAGAAAAAAAAAGAAUUCCAGACCGGGGAUUUGUAGUUUAUUUGUUAUCUCUUGAGAUCAAAGGAGGAAAUGAGCCUCUGAAGGGUGGCUUUUGGUAAGAUCUUUCCUUAAAUCUUAAGACUGAUAAGUAUUGUAAUAGAAUAGUUCUUAAAAACAAAGAAAACACCUCUAACAUCAUUAUAUGUAUCAUAACAACAUUGUAUUGUGUGUGUAUUCUCUUAUAUUUUAUCCCAUACAUUGCUGACAUACCCUGUUCAUAAUCCUGUGUGUUACCCAGGGCUGGCUCAAGGCACCAGUGUUCCAAGCAUGUGCUUGGGGCGGCACUUUCCAAGGGGCAGCACU